rnacentral:rRNA from 1 species
GUGGGGAAUAUUGGACAAUGGGCGCAAGCCUGAUCCAGCCAUGCCGCGUGAGUGAUGAAGGCCCUAGGGUUGUAAAGCUCUUUCACCGGUGAAGAUAAUGACGGUAACCGGAGAAGAAGCCCCGGCUAACUUCGUGCCAGCAGCCGCGGUAAUACGAAGGGGGCUAGCGUUGUUCGGAAUUACUGGGCGUAAAGCGCACGUAGGCGGACAUUUAAGUCAGGGGUGAAAUCCCAGAGCUCAACUCUGGAACUGCCUUUGAUACUGGGUGUCUUGAGUAUGGAAGAGGUAAGUGGAAUUCCGAGUGUAGAGGUGAAAUUCGUAGAUAUUCGGAGGAACACCAGUGGCGAAGGCGGCUUACUGGUCCAUUACUGACGCUGAGGUGCGAAAGCGUGGGGAGCAAACAGGAUUAGAAACCCCUGUAGUCC